GAUGAACGCUGGCGGCGUGCCUAAUACAUGCAAGUCGAGCGAACAGAUGAGGAGCUUGCUCCUCUGACGUUAGCGGCGGACGGGUGAGUAACACGUGGAUAACCUACCUAUAAGACUGGGAUAACUUCGGGAAACCGGAGCUAAUACCGGAUAAUAUAUUGAACCGCAUGGUUCAAUAGUGAAAGACGGUUUUGCUGUCACUUAUAGAUGGAUCCGCGCCGCAUUAGCUAGUUGGUAAGGUAACGGCUUACCAAGGCAACGAUGCGUAGCCGACCUGAGAGGGUGAUCGGCCACACUGGAACUAGACACGGUCCAGACUCCUACGGGAGGCAGCAGUAGGGAAUCUUCCGCAAUGGGCGAAAGCCUGACGGAGCAACGCCGCGUGAGUGAUGAAGGUCUUCGGAUCGUAAAACUCUGUUAUUAGGGAAGAACAAAUGUGUAAGUAACUAUGCACGUCUUGACGGUACCUAAUCAGAAAGCCACGGCUAACUACGUG
rnacentral:rRNA from 1 species